rnacentral:rRNA from 1 species
UAGGGAAUCUUCCACAAUGGACGCAAGUCUGAUGGAGCAACGCCGCGUGAGUGAAGAAGGUUUUCGGAUCGUAAAGCUCUGUUGUUGGUGAAGAAGGAUAGAGGCAGUAACUGGUCUUUAUUUGACGGUAAUCAACCAGAAAGUCACGGCUAACUACGUGCCAGCAGCCGCGGUAAUACGUAGGUGGCAAGCGUUGUCCGGAUUUAUUGGGCGUAAAGCGAGCGCAGGCGGAAUGAUAAGUCUGAUGUGAAAGCCCACGGCUCAACCGUGGAACUGCAUCGGAAACUGUCAUUCUUGAGUGCAGAAGAGGAAAGUGGAAUUCCAUGUGUAGUGGUGGAAUGCGUAGAUAUAUGGAAGAACACCAGUGGCGAAGGCGGCUCUCUGGUCUGCAACUGACGCUGAGGCUCGAAAGCAUGGGUAGCGAACAGG